rnacentral:rRNA from 1 species
AGCGAACGCUGGCGGCAGGCCUAAUACAUGCAAGUCGAGCGGUCCCUUCGGGGGCAGCGGCGGACAGGUGAGUAACGCGUGGGAACGUGCCCUUUGGUACGGAACAACUGAGGGAAACUUCAGCUAAUACCGUAUGUGCCCUUCGGGGGAAAGAUUUAUCGCCAUUGGAGCGGCCCGCGUUGGAUUAGGUAGUUGGUGAGGUAAAGGCUCACCAAGCCUACGAUCCAUAGCUGGUCUGAGAGGAUGAUCAGCCACACUGGGACUGAGACACGGCCCAGACUCCUACGGGAGGCAGCAGUAGGGAAUCUUGCGCAAUGGGCGAAAGCCUGACGCAGCCAUGCCGCGUGAAUGAUGAAGGUCUUAGGAUUGUAAAAUUCUUUCACCGGGGACGAUAAUGACGGUACCCGGAGAAGAAGCCCGGCUAACUUCGUG